AUUGAACGCUGGCGGCAGGCCUAACACAUGCAAGUCGAGCGAGCGGCGGACGGGUGAGUAAUGUAUGGGGACUGCCCGAUAGAGGGGGAUAACUACUGGAAACGGUAGCUAAUACCGCAUACUAUCGGAUAACCCAUAUGGGAUUAGCUAGUAGGUGAGGUAAUGGCUCACCUAGGCGACGAUCCCUAGCUGGUCUGAAAGGAUGAUCAGCCACACUGGGACUGAGACACGGCCCAGACUCCUACGGAGGCAGCAGUGGGGAAUAUUGCACAAUGGGCGCAAGCCUGAUGCAGCCAUGCCGCGUGUAUGAAGAAGGCCCUAGGGUUGUAAAGUACUUUCAGUCGGGAGGCGUUACCGACUGAAGAAGCACCUGCUCAGCACGUGCCAGCAGCCGCGGUAAUUC
rnacentral:rRNA from 1 species